rfam:Proteus mirabilis strain HI4320, complete genome
UUCUUGGGCUUGUUGUGGACAAAUAAAGUGGAUAUGGGUAUCAAUACCACCAGCAGUGACUAUUUUACCUUCUCCAGCGACAACUUCUGUUCCGGGGCCAAUGACAAUAUCCACAUUGGGCUGAACAUCUGGAUUACCUGCCUUGCCAAUACCGACAAUACGGCCAUCUUUAAUGCCAAUAUCUGCUUUUACAAUGCCCCAAUAAUCUAAAAUAAUGGCAUUGGUGAUCAGAACAUCGACACACUCAGCACUAACAACUUGGCUUUGCCCCAUACCAUCACGAA